rnacentral:rRNA from 1 species
UACGUAGGAUGCGAGCGUUGUCCGGAAUCAUUGGGCGUAAAGCGCACGUAGGCGGUUCGUUAUGUCGGAUGUGAAAGCCCUUGGCUUAACCGAGGAAGUGCAUCCGAAACUGGCGAGCUAGAGUACGAAAGAGGAUCGCGGAAUUCCCGGUGUAGAGGUGAAAUUCGUAGAUAUCGGGAGGAACACCGGUGGCGAAGGCGGCGAUCUGGGUCGAUACUGACGCUGAGGUGCGAAAGCGUGGGGAGCAAACAGG